ACGAACGCUGGCGGCGUGCUUAACACAUGCCAGUCGAACGCUGAAGCUCAGCUUUUGUUGGGUGGAUGAGUGGCGAACGGGUGAGUAACACGUGAGUAACCUGCCCCCUUCUUUGGGAUAACGCCCGGAAACGGGUGCUAAUACUGGAUAUUCACUGGUCUUCGCAUGGGGGUUGGUGGAAAGGGUUUUUCUGGUGGGGGAUGGGCUCGCGGCCUAUCAGCUUGUUGGUGGGGUGAUGGCCUACCAAGGCUUUGACGGGUAGCCGGCCUGAGAGGGUGACCGGUCACAUUGGGACUGAGAUACGGCCCAGACUCCUACGGGAGGCGGCAGUGGGGAAUAUUGCACAAUGGGCGCAAGCCUGAUGCAGCGACGCCGCGUGAGGGAUGGAGGCCUUCGGGUUGUGAACCUCUUUCGCUCAUGGUCAAGCCGCAACAAUGGUUGUGGUGAGGGUAGUGGGUAAAGAAGCGCCGGCUAACUACGUG
rnacentral:rRNA from 1 species